rnacentral:rRNA from 1 species
AACGAACGCUGGCGGCAGGCCUAACACAUGCAAGUCGAGCGAGGUAGCAAUACCUAGCGGCGGACGGGUGAGUAACGCGUGGGAACGUACCCUUUGCUACGGAAUAGCCCCGGGAAACUGGGAGUAAUACCGUAUGUGCCCUUCGGGGGAAAGAUUUAUCGGCAAAGGAUCGGCCCGCGUUGGAUUAGGUAGUUGGUGGGGUAAUGGCCUACCAAGCCGACGAUCCAUAGCUGGUUUGAGAGGAUGAUCAGCCACACUGGGACUGAGACACGGCCCAGACUCCUACGGGAGGCAGCAGUGGGGAAUCUUAGACAAUGGGCGCAAGCCUGAUCUAGCCAUGCCGCGUGAGUGAUGAAGGCCUUAGGGUUGUAAAGCUCUUUCAGAUGGGAAGAUAAUGACGGUACCAUCAGAAGAAGCCCCGGCUAACUCCGUGCCAGCAGCCGCGGUAAUGUCACAUG